CCCUUAGAUGUUCUGGGCCGCACGCGCGCUACACUGACAUGUCCAGCGAGCUCCCAACCUGCUCGGCAAAGAAUGGGUACCCUUUUUAACGCAUGUCGUGAUGGGGAUAGAUUAUUGCAAUUGUUGAUCCUGAACGAGGAAUUCCUAGUAAGUGCAAGUCAUUAGCUUGUGCUGAAUGCGUCCCUGCCCUUUGUACGCACCGCCCGUCGCUCCUACCGAUUGAGUGCUCCGGUGAAUGUUUUGGAUCGGCUUCAAGUUGGUUCGCGCCUCUUGCUUGCUGUGAAAUCAUGUAAACCUUAUUGCUUAGAGGAAGGAGAAGUCGUAACA
rnacentral:rRNA from 1 species